GGGGAUGAGUGGUUUCGACGGGGGUGGAUGAAGCCGAACUGCAAGCCGAGCGGCGCCGAACUCGAUAACUCAGCGCAAAAUAUUAAGUGCCAAUCGCACUAACACAUACGCCGCACUUCCACUCGCAGCCUAAUGCGCUGAGAGUAGCGGCAAGCUCUACUAGAUUGGAGCCGCCACCUGUCACUAACCUCGUCAUGUGAUGGUGCUGGCGACAGAGAGAUGAGGUGCUGUGCUUGAGGCCAUGUAUAGCACAAAAGACAAGUCUUCGGGCUUGAAUGGAUAGGAUGAGCAAGCUUUUGCUGAUUGUAGCUUGUUCCGCCGAAAAACAAACAACCGGCUAAGCUUGUAGAUGUUUGGUUAGCUAAACUUUCGGACGCGGGUUCGACUCCCGCCAUCUCCACAA
rnacentral:tmRNA from 1 species